rnacentral:rRNA from 1 species
UGGGGAAUAUUGCACAAUGGGCGCAAGCCUGAUGCAGCAACGCCGCGUGAGGGAUGACGGCCUUCGGGUUGUAAACCUCUUUUAGCAGGGAAGAAGCGAAAGUGACGGUACCUGCAGAAAAAGCACCGGCUAACUACGUGCCAGCAGCCGCGGUAAUACGUAGGGUGCAAGCGUUGUCCGGAAUUAUUGGGCGUAAAGAGCUCGUAGGUGGUCUGUCGCGUCUGCUGUGAAAUCCCGAGGCUCAACCUCGGGCCUGCAGUGGGUACGGGCAGACUAGAGUGCGGUAGGGGAGAAUGGAACUCCUGGUGUAGCGGUGGAAUGCGCAGAUAUCAGGAAGAACACCGAUGGCGAAGGCAGUUCUCUGGGCCGUAACUGACGCUGAGGAGCGAAAGCGUGGGGAGCGAACAGGAUUAGAUACCCUGGUAGUCCACGCCGUAAACGUUGGGCGCUAGAUGUGGGGACCAUUCCACGGUUUCCGUGUCGCAGCUAACGCAUUAAGCGCCCCGCCUGGGGAGUACGGCCGCAAGGCUAAAACUU